UCGACGGCAGCACGGGGGCAACCCUGGUGGCGAGUGGCGAACGGGUGAGUAAUAUAUCGGAACAUGUCCGGAAGUGGGGGAUAACGUACCGAAAGGUACGCUAAUACCGCAUAUGCCCUGAGGGGGAAAGCGGGGGAUCGUAAGACCUCGCGCUUUCGGAGUGGCCGAUAUCAGAUUAGCUAGUUGGUGAGGUAAAGGCUCACCAAGGCGACGAUCUGUAGCUGGUCUGAGAGGACGACCAGCCACACUGGAACUGAGACACGGUCCAGACUCCUACGGGAGGCAGCAGUGGGGAAUUUUGGACAAUGGGCGCAAGCCUGAUCCAGCCAUGCCGCGUGAGUGAAGAAGGCCUUCGGGUUGUAAAGCUCUUUCAGCCGGAAAGAAAACGCACGGGAUAAUACCUUGUGUGGAUGACGGUACCGGAAGAAGAAGCACCGGCUAACUACGUGCCAGCAGCCGCGGUAAUACGUAGGGUGCGAGCGUUAAUCGGAAUUACUGGGCGUAAAGCGUGCGCAGGCGGUUUUGUAAGACAGAUGUGAAAUCCCCGGGCUUAACCUGGGAACUGCAUUUGUGACUGCAAGACUAGAGUACGGCAGAGGGGGGUAGAAUUCCACGUGUAGCAGUGAAAUGCGUAGAUAUGUGGAGGAAUACCGAUGGCGAAGGCAGCCCCCUGGGUCGAUACUGACGCU
rnacentral:rRNA from 1 species